ensembl:lncRNA
AAUGUUUUGGAAUUAAACUAAAACAACCACUGACCUUGAUCUUGACUGAAUAGUCAUGCAAAACAGUUUUGCUUUCUGUGUGGCUCUGAAACAUGUUUUCUACAGCUAAAAGAGAAUGCACUGAGCCACUCUAUGGUUAGACUGGUAGUGAAGGAAAGCGAGUGUUAUCAUAAACAGAACUUAGCAGAGUCUGGUCUACCAGUGGGUGGCAGCAAUCUCCACACUUUUCAUGAGGCGUCCUUCUAAACGUCCUUUGACUCUGAGAAGCUGAAAGUUCAGCUGUGUAACUAUGCAAUACUCUAAUUUCAGGAGGGCACGACGGCUCCAGACGUCUCCUGUAGCUUUGAAGCCAGUGCAAUCAGUUUAAAGAACAAAAGCAACAGUUGCUGUAGAAGCACUUGAGUCUCAAAAUGCUAAAGACAUGGGUGAAAGGUUCUGGCCCCACUGGAUUCCCAGCACUCCAGAUCUGUAACAGGAGGUCUGACUGAGAAAGAAUGGCAGGGAGCUGUGAAAGGAAAACGUGGCUCAGAAAGGUCUUGUCGGCACUUCCUCCAGCAAAUUAGCAGCUCUCUGAGGGUACAAGUACAACUUCAUUGACCUGGCCAAUUCUGGAAAAUGUCCCACGCUGUCCUCCCCCAUGGCAGCCCUUCACUGUUCUUCUGACAACAAACCCCAGUUACUUCACCAAUUAAGGAGAGAAAUCGCCAUGAAAGCCUGGUGCUGUGAGGUUAUGCACGGCAGUAACAGAGGAAUUUCUUCAUGCAGCUCUGGAGUACAGAGGGUGCAAUGGACUGUGAAUAGCAAGACAAGACAGCUCCCUGGAGCGAGAGGCUGGAGUGAGGGCCUUACAGCUGUUUUCUGGAGAUAAUUGAUUUUGGAAUAGACCAGAGAUGAGAGCGGACAGGCGGGGCUGAUGGCGCACUGCAGCGGGGUCCAAGCCAAUUUCCGCAGGCCUUGUCCCUUUAAUUACUGUGGUGCUAGAGCAUGGGAUGCGCCCACUCUCCCAUCCAGAAACGCUUGGUCCCAUCUGCAUUAUAAAAGGAUGAAAGGUUGACAAUCACAGUUCAUCACUCCCAGAAAUCCAAGGAAUGAUUGACAAUUUCACAGGCAAAGCAAAUUACAGUGAAGAUUUGUGCUCAGAAUUAGACCUUGGAUAUCGCUUUAGAUGACCUUGAGGAAACACGGGCACGAUGGUUGAAAAACGUUUUAGUCUGACUUUGUAAAUUCCAAAGCGUGAAGAAAAUGCAGUUUUUAACAGUAGUUUCUAGUCAGGAAAUAACGCUCGGUCAAAGGUGAAGUCAGUGUUACCUCUGUGUAAUUCCAUACAGCAGUGAAGGAUCACCUUUUUAAACAACUUGGAUACUGAUUAGGAACAUCUGAAAAGUUUUGUUAACAGGUGUAUUUAUAAAUUGUACAUGGAGGUCAAAGUGGAUUACAGAUGGUUACUGCACUGAGUUAUGAAGGAAAUGAAAGGAGUGAGAAGUGAUGACAAGAGAAGGAAGUACAGAUUUCUGAGCACCGACUGAGAAACAAGAUGGGAGUGGUUACAACGCAUGAAUGUGCAAUACAGACACCUGAAACUUCCACAAAGAAGCACAGACAGCUUUACACAUUAUAAGUGAGAUACUAUCUCCAUGAUAAUAUCUGCUUUAGAAGCCAGUGUUGUGGAAAAACUCACUUCAAAAAGAAAGCAUUUUAAAGACCACAUGUUAAUUUUAUACCAACCUUGCUGGACAGGUUUGUGCCAAAUUGUGUGAUUUUCACAGUCACUGCUUCUGACAUGGACAGUCGUAUAAUGGAGUGUACUUGACAAAGGAUAUUUAAUUCAAUAUAAUUUUUAUCCAACUCCUGCUAUAGUGCUUACAGGGUUG